CUGACUUCCCAGGGAAUGUUGGCAAACAGCACAGCUGCCAGAAGAUGCACGAAGCCCUGGAGCCAAGCUUGUCCUGGAGCUGGGCUCUGCACGAUGGCUCUCACCUCGUGCCUCGCAGAAGUCACCAGCACUCCCAGCCCCUUGGAAGUUAAGGAGGACCGCUGGCAUUUCUCCCAUGAGGAAGCUGAGGAAGAGAGGCAGCGUGGUUGCUGGUUUUGGCCAGCUGAGACCCACAUUGGUUCUCCAUGGGGACAUCCACCUCUGUUUGAAGGCCAGAGGACCUCAGGGUGCGAUUUCUCCAAUGCAAUAGGGCACACACUCCUCGUCUUCUUCCAGAGAAAAGCACCGGUGGUGAGCAAAGGAUGCACGCAAGGAGGAAAUCAGCUCAGAAAAACACAGGGAGGGACAGAGAGGGAACAGAGCUGGCUUCUGCUCAAAAGCUUUUUUGGGAUGCCUCACUGCCCUGGGCCACUUCAAACAGCAAGCAAGUGCUACCUGGCCGACUUCACCCAGGGAAAGAGAACUCUAGAGAGGAGAGAUCGAGAAAAUUGGCAAGAAGCACCCGGGACGAGUGGCUCGAGGAAGAGGAAAGAGAAAUUCCUGCAGACCCAGCGCGUGACCCAAUAUUUCUGCACUACCUAGUUUCUGUGCUGCUUUUGAACUGUCACAGCUGUCCCUUGGAGCCACGUGCCCACAGGAUGGCUUGCUUGGAGAAGUCACAGACCUGCCCCAACACCUCUGACACAGCCAGAAACCAAAACAGAGAAACGCCGGUUGUUUCUGACUUUGCUGGUGUCCCUGAGCCAUUCCUUAUCAGCACAACGGGCAGGCUGCUUUCAUCACCUUCUCAGGUCUUCAGGAAAAUCUGCUCCAGUUCUGGCAUCCUGCGGCCCACGCCUCAUAAAGAAAACAGAGGCUGGCUGCUUGAGAAAGAGCACUCCAUGUACUCGAAGGAAUACUUGAAGGAA